rnacentral:rRNA from 1 species
AGUGAACGCUGGCGGUAGGCCUAACACAUGCAAGUCGAACGGCAGCACAGUAAGAGCUUGCUCUUACGGGUGGCGAGUGGCGGACGGGUGAGGAAUACAUCGGAAUCUACUUUUUCGUGGGGGAUAACGUAGGGAAACUUACGCUAAUACCGCAUACGACCUACGGGUGAAAGCAGGGGAUCUUCGGACCUUGCGCGAUUGAAUGAGCCGAUGUUGGAUUAGCUAGUUGGCGGGGUAAAGGCCCACCAAGGCGACGAUCCGUAGCUGGUCUGAGAGGAUGAUCAGCCACACUGGAACUGAGACACGGUCCAGACUCCUACGGGAGGCAGCAGUGGGGAAUAUUGGACAAUGGGCGCAAGCCUGAUCCAGCCAUACCGCGUGGGUGAAGAAGGCCUUCGGGUUGUAAAGCCCUUUUGUUGGGAAAGAAAAGCAGCAGGUUAAUACCCCGCUGUUCUGACGGUACCCAAAGAAUAAGCACCGGCUGACUUCGUG